rnacentral:rRNA from 1 species
CCUACGGGUGGCAGCAGUGAGGAAUAUUGGUCAAUGGCCGGAAGGCUGAACCAGCCAAGCCGCGUGAAGGACGAAGGUGCCAAGCAUUGUAAACUUCUUUUGUCAAGGGACAAAAUCAGGCUCGAGUGCCUGACCGAGGGUACUUGAAGAAUAAGCAUCGGCUAACUCCGUGCCAGCAGCCGCGGUAAUACGGAGGAUGCGAGCGUUAUCCGGAUUUAUUGGGUUUAAAGGGUGCGUAGGCGGACUGUUAAGUCAGCGGUAAAAGCCCGGGGCUCAACCCCGGCGAGCCGUUGAAACUGGCUGUCUUGAGAUGGCGAGAGGUAUGCGGAAUGCGCAGUGUAGCGGUGGAAUGCGUAGAUAUUAGGAGGAACACCAGUGGCGAAGGCGGGUUGCUGGACUGUAACUGACACUGAGGCACGAAAGCGUGGGGAGCAAACAGGAUUAGAUACCCGUGUAGUC